UUUGGAAAUGCACCUCUUGCUGAAAGAAACUUGGAUGGAUUAGACGAGAUGAAAAGAAGUGUAAUUGGAAACCCACCCCUUCCUUUUAGGAGAAUCUUGGAUGAACCAAACGAGGGAAAAACCGGAAAGUAACCCGUUGUUGAAAAGGCAGAUAACCAUUGACGGUUUUAGUUGGCCAUGGGGAAGAUGAAUUCAUCCACUGACAGAGAUAUUAC